CCCGCGUCGACGCCCUCUUUCCUUCAUCUUCUUCGCUCUCUCUCUCUCUCUCUCUCUCUCGCUCUCUCUCUCUCUCUCUCUCUCUCUCUUUCUGUCUGUGCAGCUCUGAGUUUGACCGGUUUUUGAACCGUCAACCCAUCGCCGGUACGGACUAAGGGUUCGAUCUGUUCUCUCUUCCUACUUUUCCAGCCUUCUCUUUCUGUUUCCCCUGUUUGCUUCUCUAUGCUUUCUUAUUCUAAUUCAUCCUCUCCUAUCAAAUCUUGAUCCCAAUUACCCCAUUUCAUCUUCUAUUUUCGGGACAGUUACAUCACAAUUGCUUUUUUGAGUUAGCUUCAGUUUUCUCUCAUUUUCUCAGAUCCUUUUCGUCAAUUCUCGGUCAGAUUCAGAGUUGCUGCGUGAUUCCUCGUGUUUGUGUUAGCUCUGUCUUUUUCGCUGUUUAAGAAAUGGUGGGUUCUGACUGUUCAACUGGGUUACCCUCGGUGUCACAUCCGGUGACGAAUUAUGGUGUUACGAAACCGAUUUCUCUUGCUGGGCCGAUGGAUGCUGAUAUUCACCGCAAUAUCGAACUGGAGAAGUUCUUGGUUGACUCGGAGCUUUACGAAAGUAAAGAAGAAGCUGCUAAAAGAGAAGAAGUUCUGGGACGCAUUGAUCAGAUUGUUAAAAGUUGGGUCAAGCAAUUAACCCUCCUAAGAGGAUACACAGAGCAGAUGGUGGAGGAUGCAAAUGCUGUAAUUUUUACUUUCGGGUCUUACCGUCUUGGGGUACAUGGACCAGGAAGUGACAUAGACACUUUGUGUGUUGGACCAUCUUACGUGAAUAGAGAAGACUUCUUCAUCAUCUUGCAUAAUAUAUUGGCUGAAAUGGAAGAGGUUACCGAUCUUCAACCGGUUCCUGAUGCUCAUGUUCCAGUAAUGAGAUUCAAAUUUCUGGGAAUAUCAAUUGAUCUUCUGUAUGCGAGCAUUUCCCUACUGGUGGUCCCAGAAGACCUGGACAUCUCUCAUGGAUCUGUGUUGUAUAAUGUUGAUGAACAAACUGUUCGAAGCCUUAAUGGGUGCAGAGUUGCAGAUCAAAUUCUAAGACUAGUUCCAAACGUUGAGCAUUUCCGCACGACACUUAGAUGCUUGAAGUUUUGGGCGAAAAGACGGGGUGUAUAUUCAAAUGUCACUGGGUUCCUUGGAGGUGUAAAUUGGGCACUUUUGGUUGCUCAGGUAUGCCAGCUUUACCCCAACGCAAUUCCAAGCAUGCUAGUUUCUCGUUUCUUCAGAGUGUACACCCAGUGGCGUUGGCCAAAUCCUGUAAUGCUAUGUUCGAUAGAAGAGAAUGAACUUGGAUUUCCUGUUUGGGAUCCUCGUAGAAAUCCUCGUGAUCGAUUUCAUCUUAUGCCAAUAAUAACUCCAGCUUACCCUUGCAUGAACUCUAGCUAUAAUGUCUCAACUAGUACUCUUCGUGUUAUGAUGGAACAAUUCCGCUAUGGUAAUAGCAUCUGCGAGGAGAUUGACUUGAGCAAAGCCCAGUGGAGUGCUUUGUUUGAGCCAUAUUUAUUUUUCGAGACAUACAAAAACUAUCUACAGGUGGAUAUAAUUGCAGCAGAUGCCGACGAUUUGCUAGCUUGGAAGGGAUGGGUAGAAUCUCGCUUUAGACAGCUUACCUUAAAGAUAGAGAGGGACACCAGGGGGAUGCUGCAGUGCCACCCCUAUCCUAUUGAGUAUUCUGACACGUCCAAGCCAUGUUCUCACUGUGCUUUUUUCAUGGGCUUGCAGAGAAAAGAGGGAUUAAGAGGCCAAGGAGGCCAGCAGUUUGACAUACGGGGAACAGUUGACGAGUUCAGGCAAGAGAUAAACAUGUAUGCCUUUUGGAAGCCAGGGAUGGACAUCUAUGUUUCUCAUGUACGGAGGAAGCAACUGCCCACCUUUGUUUUUCCUGACGGACACAAGCGAGCAAAGCCACUUAGGCAUGAAGGGCAACAAGUUGACACAGUUUGUGCUGAUAUGCUUCAAGAUCAAUCUGGGAUAACUGAAAAGGGGAAAAAAAGGAAAAGUGAUCAUGAAGAAGAAGAGAAGGAAAAGAAACAAGCCUUAAUCAGUCCACCAGCAGAGCAAUCCCCCAUGCCUGAAUUUUUUGGUGGUGAUCCUGAUGGAAAAUGGCCAAGUUCGAAAUUUGCUAAUGCAGAUUGUCAUUUGAAGGUUUGGUCAUCUUUUGAACAGCCUGUUAGCAGAACGGAUACCAAUGGAAAUGGCACAGAUAUUGCAACUUUGACCAAGGAGACUGGUUCUACAGGGGAUCAGCUAGGGCUACCAGCUAAAGAAAUUGAAGAAUCUUCCUCGAGGAAGGAGGUGCCUGAUCUAUAUAAAGGCAGUAUUUCAACAUCCAAGGAAGCUCUACAAAUUGGAACGGACAGGGAAAAUGUCGAUGGGUUAGCACCGAAUAUGAAUGGAAGUGUGCAGACAGUAUCCAUCAGGACUCUUCUCCAUUGGACAAAGGAUGUUGUGAGGAUUGACUCCGAAUCAGGAAAUACAUAUGGUGAAAUGACAGGGGGUGAGAGUACCCAAGUUGAAUUUCAACCAAAUUGCAAUACACAUAACCUUAGUUGCAAGGGCAAUGAUAGCAGGACAGAUCCAGAUUUGGCGUUGGAUAAUGGUUCUGUUGUGACUGGAAGAGUGUCUCAAAAUGGUCAAUCUAAAGUGUUGGAGCCGAAGAUCAGCAAUCAGGCAGUCACCGAAUGGAGUUAAUCAGAAUCUAAGCAAAAUUCUGGUAAAAAGGAGUCUUGGGGGAUCUGGCUAGAAGCAUCCUUUGAACAGACUGAAUCUGAACCUCAAGGUGACAUGCGAUGGGCAAAUACUGGAUGCUGGAUGGGUUGUGAGGUCAGACCUGACCAUCAUUUGGUAAGUAUCACCUCAAUUACUGGCUUUGAUUAAUGAUGUAUAUGGUGUUCAUCAUGUAUGAACCUGCGGCUUGGGGAGGAGUCACAUGGCUUGGUGGCAUGGCAUAUGGUUCAGCUCCAAUAUGCUGUUUAUUGUCCUUGAUCAUGGGAAUCCGAAGCAGCAGUGUUGGGGAAAAAACCUUAAAGACUGCAUGCAAUGCUUUGAAGAAUCUGGUGCAUUUCAUUUUAGAUGCCUGGCACUCGAACCUUCACAGCUUCCCAUUUUUAGAAGAUGGGAGAUUCUUUGUGAAGGAACUGCUCAUGCGGUCGUUUCUGGGGUGAAUGCAAUCUACACUUCCAAGACCUUCAAUCUUGCAGUUUAACCAUAUUGAGUUCGACUUGCACAUUAGGAGUGCCGAGGAGGGGAAUAGCAUCAAAUUCAAUGGCAUGCUUUCUCCUAUCACAAGCUUCUGGAGGACUGCAUUGGCGUAGAAUACGCAGAACUUCUUUCAUCGAAGGUCGUAUUUCAGGAUGUUAUGGUAUGAACUUACCUGGGGCUAUGUAGCCAAAUGAUCCUGCUAUUGCAGAGAUGGUGUGGGGCUCUCCCUGACUGGCGAGCAUCUUGGCCAACCCAAAAUCUGCUAUCUUUGCCUGAAACUCACGGUCUAAUAAGAUAUUACUCGACUUCACAUCUCGAUGAAUGAUUGGUGGAGAGCAAUCAUGGUGCAUAUAACUGAGGCCCUGUGCAGCUCCAAUAGCAAUUUGCAACCUCCGCGGCCAGUCUAAGACAGAUUGCUCAAGAAAAUUCAUUGCUGCAGAUGUUAACCUUUUCUUCUUUUUAUGAAGCCACCUAUCUAGGCUCUGAUUUUCCAUGUAUUCAUAGACUAAAAGCUUUGAAUUCUCAUUCCAGACGCAGCAUAGCAGCUUCACUAUAUUUGAAUGCCGAAUUGAGCCUAGUA